GGGGUUAUAGCUCAGUUGGUAGAGCGCUUGCUUAGCGUGCAUGAGGUCUUGGGUUCAAUUCCCAAUAACUCCA
rnacentral:tRNA from 1 species